UGAUCCUGGCUCAGAACGAACGCUGGCGGCGUGGAUUAGGCAUGCAAGUCGAGCGACGGCAGGGGCUUCGGCCCCUGUACGGAGCGGCGAAAGGGUGAGUAACGCGUAGGCAAUCUGCCCGGGAGUCCGGGAUAACCGCUGGAAACGGCGACUAAUACCGGAUGGUCCCGGUCGACGGCAUCGUCGACCGGGUAAAGGGGGGGAUCUUCGGACCUCCUGCUCUGGGAGGAGCCUGUGUCCUAUCAGCUUGUUGGUGGGGUAACGGCCUACCAAGGCGAUGACGGGUAGCCGGACUGAGAGGUUGGCCGGCCACACUGGGACUGAGACACUGCCCAGACUCCUACGGGAGGCUGCAGUCGAGAAUCAUCCGCAAUGGGCGAAAGCCUGACGGUGCGACGCCGCGUGGAGGAUGAAGGCCUUCGGGUUGUAAACUCCUGUCAGAGCUCGAGAAGGAAUGCUGCGGGUCCACUCGCAGUUGACUUAAGCCCCAGAGGAAGUCACGGCUAACUCCGUGCCAGCAGCCGUGGUAAGACGGAGGUGGCAAGCGUUGCUCGGAAUCACUGGGCUUAAAGGGCGCGUAGGCGGUUGAUCUAGUCGGAUGUGAAAGCCCUCGGCUUAACCGAGGAAUUGCAUCCGAUACUGUUCAGCUAGAGUGCGGGAGGGGAGAGUGGAACUCCAGGUGUAGCGGUGAAAUGCGUAGAUAUCUGGAGGAACACCAGUGGCGAAAGCGACUCUCUGGUCCACAACUGACGCUGAGGCGCGAAAGCCAGGGGAGCAAACGGGAUUAGAUACCCCGGUAGUCCUGGCCCUAAACGAUGGGCACUAGGUAGUGGGGGGUCCGAUCUUCUCACUGCCGGAGCGAAUGUGUUAAGUGCCCCGCCUGGGGAGUACAGUCGCAAGGCCGAAACUCAAAGGAAUUGACGGGGGCUCACACAAGCGGUGGAGGAUGUUGCUUAAUUCGAAGCAACGCGAAGAACCUUACCUGGGCUUGACAUGGAUGUGGUACGGACCCGAAAGGGCGAGGACCCGGUUUUCCGGGAGCAUUCACAGGUGUUGCAUGGCUGUCGUCAGCUCGUGUCGUGAGAUGUUGGGUUAAGUCCCGUAACGAGCGAAACCCUUGUCGUUAGUUGCCAGCGGGUAAUGCCGGGGACUCUAGCGAGACCGCCGGUGUCAAACCGGAGGAAGGUGGGGACGACGUCAAGUCAUCAUGGCCCUUACGCCCAGGGCUGCAAACGUCCUACAAUGGUCGGCACAAAGGGUUGCAAUACCGCAAGGUGGAGCGAAUCCCAUAAAGCCGGCCCCAGUUCGGAUUGUGGGCUGCAAUUCGCCCGCAUGAAGCCGGAAUCGCUAGUAAUCGCGGAUCAGCACGCCGCGGUGAAUAUGUUCCUGAGCCUUGUACACACCGCCCGUCAAGCCACGGGAAUUGGUAGCACCCGAAGUCGUUUGCCUAACCCCUCGGGGAGGGCGGCGCCGACGGUGAGAUC
rnacentral:rRNA from 1 species